rnacentral:rRNA from 1 species
AACUUGACCUCAAAUCAGGUAGGAUUACCCGCUGAACUUAAGCAUAUCAAUAAGC